GACGAACGCUGGCGGCGUGCCUAACACAUGCAAGUCGAGCGAUUCAGAAGUCGGAUAUCAAUCCGACCCCUGGAUAGCGGCGGACGGGUGAGCAACACGUGGGUAAUCUGCCCUACGGACCGGGAUAACACACCGAAAGGGGUGCUAAUACCGGAUAAAGUCAUCAUAUGGCAUCAUAAGAUGAAGAAAGGAGAAAUCCGCCAAAGGAGGAGCCCGCGUCCCAUUAGUUAGUUGGCGGGGUAAAGCCCACCAAGGCGACGAUGGGUAGCCGGCCUGAGAGGGUGAACGGCCACACUGGAACUGAGACACGGUCCAGACUCCUACGGGAGGCAGCAUG
rnacentral:rRNA from 1 species